AGGGAGAUUACUAAGGGAUGGCGCCAGUUCCAACCACGGGCUUUACCCACACCCGUGGAGGGGGGCUGGAUGGGGAUUGCCGGGCCGGGUCCAGCAUCACCGAAAAAACUUUUCAGGAAUUAUCACACCUGGGAUGCGAACGCGGGUCCUUUUGCAUGGCACGCCGACAGCGUUACCACUCAGCCAUCCGGCCGCCUGGAGAGCAGAUAUUGUGAUCGGCAUCUUGUCUGUUACAGCAACCGACCACUGUAUGACGCAUAUUUCAAACGUCAGCCCCAUCGCCCAGUUUUGAUCUAUCAACAGAAUGGAUGUCAAUAUAUUCCCCAUCUAACGUAUUGGCGCGUCUAGCGUCAACAUCUCCUAACCUAUCAACUCGAUGGGACUAAAAGAAAUCAGAAGAAAGCGGUAAGGAUAAAGAACAGGCAUAACAGCCGGAUUCUCAUCAGAUUCGCUAUAGUUCGGUCUGUCCCCACUGAUUCCGGGUAACCGUUUCCUAAACUUUUGUCAGUUCGGGUGAAUAUGGUUUGGUUAAAAUAUGCAUAUAGGGAAAAAUAUUACUGAUAAUAAUUUAGGAGAAAGUUUUUAAUU
rnacentral:lncRNA from 1 species